rnacentral:lncRNA from 1 species
ACAUGCAUAUCGUAACAUCUAAAUUCUUCACACAUAUAUUGUUGUCUAAAGAAGGGGGAAAAAUACAAAUAAAAGCGCAGUUAUCAGUUCACUAGUCAACUUUUAACAAGCAAGAAAAAACUAAAACAGAGUGCAGCAUGUCUCCUUGGCUGUAUUUUAAUCGCCAUUGAGCAUAAUUUACCUCCAGGAGUCCACAUGGAAGAUGCUUUGAAGUCAUUGUAAGAAAGGUGUUCAAAUUGCCUGCAAUCGCAAAAGAUAUACUUGAUCCAUAUCAAUUCAGCAAAAUCUAUAUCUAUAGUAGAGGUUUUCAAGUAAAAGACUCAAAGGAAGGUGGUGACGAUAACGUAAUAAAUGAGGUUUUUUAUUGAGGAAUUUAUUCAAACACUUGGUAGAGGCGGGAAAACAUCUCAGAGAAAAUAAGAAUUUUGUUUGUUUCACUGACAACAAAAUGCUUAAUAGAAAAUGAAAAUGGACUGAAACUUGAAUAGGGCUUGUGUUAGAAUGUCAAGAAACUCAAUGAAACAGAAUCUUAAGCAAUAUAAUUCAUGCCUAUAUAAACUCAAGGAGAUUAUAAGUUCAAGUGUGCCUAAACAUUAUUCAUCUAUAACAAAAGUUCCAGUGCUACAACUCUUGGUAUAGCUUGUAGAAAUGGCUUCAACAUGGCAAUCACUCCACUUUAUUGGCCUAAUUAUUUUGAGCCUCUGGGCAUGUCAAGCGAAUUCCCGUGCUCUGCAGGAGGUUUCCAUGCUGGAGAAAUAUGAACAAUGGAUGGCUCUCCAUGGGCGUGUUUACAAUGACGCAACAGAGAAGGAGAGGCGUUUUGAGAUAUUUAGGAAAAAUGUCGAACACAUUGAAUCUUUUAAUAGGGCUGGGAAUCGAUCCUACACUCUAGGUGUUAAUGGUUUUGCAGACCAAACAAAUGAAGAGUUUAUAGCAACUCGGAACGGAUACAAAGGGUUUUGCUCACCUCCGAAAUCUUCAGAUGCAUCAUCUUUCAGAUAUGAACAUGUCACUGCAGUGCCAUCUAGCGUGGACUGGAGAAAGAAAGGCGCUGUAACCCCUAUCAAGGAUCAAGGCCAAUGUGGU